UGUUUUCAUUAUUUCAUCUGACUCGGAGAUAUUACGGUUAGAGGCCAUCAAAAUAUUUUCAGCCGGGCCCCAUUAUCCACCGUCAAUCUUUCGUUCUUUCCUUAUUCUUCUAGAGAGGGAGAGAGACAGGGACGUGGUGUUUCUGCAAGCGAGCGCACAUGUGCUCGCUAUCCGGGCGGCUCGUUCACGUCUUGAGAUGUGGCGCAUUCAAUAACGCAGGAAUAUUCGAGAGACCAAAUAUUGAUGGGAAAUAGAGAAUACGUACAGUUACCGUUACCUCGUCGGAGUUGAUCCGUGGCUCGGGACGACCGCCGCCGUCCUGAUCCGUGGAACAGGAAAAACUGUUUCCGUCUGCCGUCUGAGCAGCGGGCUUGGUUGCUGCCUUCGAUCCAUUCGCUCGAGGCCGCCGUGCCAAGGAUCCGUGCCGGCGUGCGAAGGAGCAUCUCGAAAUCUGGCUCCUGGAGCUCGUGAUGCAGCCAGUAAAAAGGCCAAUCGAGUGCAGAACACACGUUCCUGUCGUUCGGAAGGUCCUGCUCUGAUUCGGUUGCUAAGAUCAGAGGACAAUGGCUGGUACAUCACAGAACAUAGAGAGCCACAAUUGUUCAAUGUUCCAGGUGAGUCGUGGCUCAUCAUGUCGCGUAGCGUUACGAGCCGUGGAGCAGGAAAACCACUUUUCGGUUAGUGGGAGUUAUUGCUUUGAGCAAUGAGGGUGGUGGAUGUUGUCGAUUCGUUGGUGUAGCCGCUUGAUUCUUUGAUUGGUGACACAAAGGAGCUUGCAGCACAACUGUCUUGGGUAGGCGACUACGUCAUAAAGGCGAUGGAGUUCUUGAUGCAACUAAUUAAGAGAUUCACUGUGUUGGAGGAGGUCAAUGAAAGUGUGCCUCGAUCUCGAUGGCUCCGCUACAUUUCUCUGUGGCUGCGUCCGUUGGCAAAGCUGGACCAAGCACCGGUGUCAGCCAUUUGUAGGCAUAAGCGGUGGUGGCUGCAGAAAGUGAAAGCUCGCCUCAAUCGUCCAAGCAGUCCACCGACAAGAUGAACCUGCAGGCACCUGGAUAGACUCUUGGGAUAGGAUUUGUUAUGCCGCACCACGACGAACAUCUCGUUCUGAGGGGAGUUUGUCGGAGUUGGGGAGAGUUUGGCGACAGGGAAGGAGGAAGAUUGAUGGUGUGGUGGUGGUCCUGGUCGGUGCGCAGCACUAACGACGCUCGGGAGACAGCCCAGUUUGCUACCACCUCUCUGCCCAUGGUACAACGACUACGGAUUAUUGCUGAUGGCUUGACGGACUAGGAGACGGAGGAUGAGGACGGCCUGUCCCUCAGCGCAACAUCACUAUCAUACCAUGAAUUAUUGCUGGUUAAUGUCGCUAAAAUUCAGGAUGAAGUCUUUUCCUAUCUCUUGCAUGUCACAACACAUGUGCGGCCUCUCUGCUGUAGCUGAAUAUUUGCAUUCCCUACUUGGUAA